rnacentral:rRNA from 1 species
GACGAACGCUGGCGGCGUGCCUAAUACAUGCAAGUCGAGCGCGGGAAACUCUUCUGAUCCCUUCGGGGUGAAGAGAGUGGAACGAGCGGCGGACGGGUGAGUAACACGUGGGCAACCUACCUAUAAGACUGGGAUAACUCGCGGAAACGUGAGCUAAUACCGGAUAAUACUUUUUAUUGCAUAAUAAGAAGUUUAAAAGACGGCGCAAGCUGUCACUUAUAGAUGGGCCCGCGGCGCAUUAGCUAGUUGGUGAGGUAAAGGCUCACCAAGGCAACGAUGCGUAGCCGACCUGAGAGGGUGAUCGGCCACACUGCGACUGAGACACGGCCCAGCCUCCUACGGGAGGCAGCAGUAGGGAAUCUUCCGCAAUGGACGAAAGUCUGACGGAGCAACGCCGCGUGAGUGAAGAAGGUUUUCGGACCGUAAAACUCUGUUGUUAGGGAAGAACAAGUCAGGUAGUAACUGACCUGACCUUGACGGUACCUAACCAGAAAGCCACGGCUAACUACGUGCCAGCAGCCGCGGUAAUACGUAGGUGGCAAGCGUUGUCCGGAUUUAUUGGGCGUAAAGCGCUCGCAGGCGGUCUUUUAAGUCUGAUGUGAAAGCCCACGGCUUAACCGUGGAGGGUCAUUGGAAACUGGAGGACUUGAGUGCAGAAGAGGAGAGUGGAAUUCCAUGUGUAGCGGUGAAAUGCGUAGAGAUAUGGAGGAAUACCAGUGGCGAAGGCGACUCUCUGGUCUGUAACUGACGCUGAGGAGCGAAAGCGUGGGUAGCGAACAGGAUUAGAUACCCUGGUAGUCCACGCCGUAAACGAUGAGUGCUAGGUGUUAGGGGGUUUCCGCCCCUUAGUGCUGAAGUUAACGCAUUAAGCACUCCGCCUGGGGAGUACGGCCGCAAGGCUGAAACUCAAAAGAAUUGACGGGGACCCGCACAAGCGGUGG